GCAUCUGUUCGGGGACAUCCAAUAAAAUUGGAAGAAUACAAAAAGAUUAGCAUGACCCCUGCGCAAGGAUCACAAACACAAAUCAAGAAAUAGACCCAAAAUAU